GAAUAUUGGACAAUGGGGGGAACCCUGAUCCAGCCAUGCCGCGUGUGUGAAGCAGGCCUUUUGGUUGUAAAGCACUUUAAGCGAGGAGGAGGCUACUCUAGUAACUACCUAGAGAUAGUGGACGUUACUCGCAGAAUCACACCCGGCGAACUCUGUGACAGCAGCCGCGGUAAUACGGAGGGUGCAAGCGUUAAUCGGAUUUACUGGGCGUAAAGCGCGCGUAGGUGGACAAUUAAGUCAAAUGUGAAAUCCCCGAGCUUAACUUGGGAAUUGCAUUCGAUACUGGUUGGCUAGAGUAUGGGAGAGGAUGGUAGAAUUCCAGGUGUAGCGGUGAAAUGCGUAGAGAUCUGGAGGAAUACCGAUGGCGAAGGCAGCCAUCUGGCCUAAUACUGACACUGAGGUGCGAAAGCAUGGGGAGCAAAC
rnacentral:rRNA from 1 species